ACCAGCCCGUGUGGCGAGAUCCCCGGCCGAGUGGUUCUGACGCACUUCCCCGGCGUCAGAGACACCCGGACGGGGCUCUGGCCCCACGGACCCCCACCC
rfam:Aeromicrobium marinum DSM 15272 chromosome, whole genome shotgun sequence.